GACGAACGCUGGCGGCGUGCUUAACACAUGCAAGUCGAACGAAGAGCGACGGAAGCUUGCUUCUAUCACUCUUAGUGGCGAACGGGUGAGUAACGCGUAAUCACCCUGCCCUUCAGUGGGGGACAUCAGUUGGAACCGACUGCUAAUACCGCAUACGAUCUAACCUCGGCAUCGAGGAUAGAUGAAAGGUGGUCUCUACAUGUAUGCUAUCACUGAAGGAGGGGAUUGCGUCUGAUUAGCUAGUUGGAGGGGUAACGGGCUAACAAAGGGAUGAUUAGUAGGCGGACCGGAGAGAGGGACGGCCAAAAUGGGACCGAGACACGGCCCAGGCCUCUAAGGGGGGGAGCAGGGAGGAAACUUCCGCAAUGGAGGAAAGUCUGACGGGGCAACGCCGGCGGAGGGAUGGCAGGCUUCGGGUUGGAAAGACCUGGUUAUCGGGGCGAAAGGCCUGCGUGCGAAUAGAGGGAAGGAUUGACGGUACCGGAAUAGAAAGCCACGGCUAACUACGUG
rnacentral:rRNA from 1 species